AAGUCGUAACAAGGUUUCCGUAGGUGAACCUGCGGAAGGAUCAUUAACACUCCAAAACUUUUUCUCAUAGCUCUGGGAAACCAGAGUUUAUGAAACCCUAUUCACUACUGCGAACCCGGCCAGAUGGAAGGAGGGGUGGUUCUUUUCCCUGGUGGAACAAAAACCACAAAACACCUCAUCCAUCUAGCUACCUUUUUUUUUCUUUUGUCCAAUUUUUCCUUUUUAAACCCCAAUCAUUAUUAUCUUUUUUCGGUCUGACUGGAAGACUCUCUCGGGUCUUCCGUUGCUCUUCUACUCUAACCAGUGAAGGCAAUGAAAACUGCUAUUUUAAAAAAACAAAAAAAAAACAACUCUUAGCAACGGAUAUCUUGGUUCUC
rnacentral:misc_RNA from 1 species